GAUCUUCAUUUGUCUUAGAAUGUCAAAUCCGAAUAAUUCGAAAAAAUCAGUGUGAGUUUAUUUACAGAGUCAGUGAAAAAUAUGGAGAGGAAAACUUAUGGUCUUUUGUUUUGCCUUCUUAUUUUGUUCGCCUCACAAAUGGCGAUCCCACGAGUCGAGGGAAGAGUGUGCAUCUCACAAAGCCAUAAGUACAAAGGGCCUUGCCUAGGUGACCAUAACUGCGCUGAAGUGUGCCGUGGCGAAGGCUUCACCGGCGGUGACUGCAUUGGCUGGCAAAGAAAGUGCUUUUGCACUAGGUCUUGUUAAUUAAUUAAGUGCCAUUUUCUUGACACUUAAUUAAUUCACUAUCUUCUGUCUUUUGUUUUUGGGAAUAAAAAGUUAGUAGGUAAUGCUUGCAUUGUAGCACUCUUACGGUUUAUUUUGUUUGGUACGAUGAUGAUAUUAGUUGAGUUUCCUUAAUUUAUUUGGGAUUGAGGCAUAGUUAUUAUUGUUGCAUUGUACCGUUCUUCAUUUGGUAAUUCAAGGGUUCUUUCUUUAUUUCACA